rnacentral:lncRNA from 1 species
GCACCAGAGUCUUUUUUUUGGAAAGCAGAUUUUGAUAUGAGGAGUGGGGUCAGAGGAAGACAGAAGGAAAUAAGAACCGUGACAGCAAUGAGCAGGGAAGAGAGCGGAAAGGGCCCCCCCCCCCCACGUGGGUGAAAGGAACUGAGUGGGCAGAUGGUGAAACUGACCCACAAAUGAUGCCUUCACGGCUUUGUGUCUUGAUUCCUUUUGUCCUUCUCACAGUCCUGUCACGGUGGUCUGCAUGUUGUGGGAGCACACAAUAACUGUUAGAGCUUGAUGGCCAUAAAUGAAAUUUGAAAGAAAGAUUUGGCUAUACGAGACAAUUUCCCACUUGGCAUGAUUUGGCCUGGAGCCUGCAGACUAUCCAUGGGGUGACUAACCGUCACUUCUUUACUGGGCAAGGAGUUUUCCUGUGUGUUUUUUUCCUCCUUAUCUAUUUUCAUGGCAUGUUGAGAUGGGGUUGGAGCCAGGACUUCAUGCAGAAGUGAAGAGCCUGGUGCUCGGCAGAGGGAGUGGCCUGCUUUCGGUCACACAGGAGCGGUGGAUCCCGCAGCCCAAAUUUGUCUUGUAUCACUGAACUCCACAAUGGACAGCCAUUCAUUCCUUACAGAGCCUUAAGAGGCUUAUGAACACUACAAGAAAGCACCCCAGGAGAGACCUCUCUUUGGGGGAGGAACAGUGAACCUGGCUUGCCUGCCUCGGAAAGAAACCCUGAAGGACGUUUUCCUUGUUAAGAUUGCUCUUGUUAAAAAGCUGUGCAGUCCUAAAAUGUUAUUGAACAAUAGCUUUUCACACAAAGGCUGUGUAGCCAACAGUCUCCUCUAACCUGCUGCAACUCCUUGGCUUCCAUCUCCCGCAGAGGCUGCAGGGCAGGAGCCCAGGGCUCUGCUGUGGCCUCCUCGGCCUCACCAUCCUCACCAGCUUGGCUUCCAUUCCUUCUGAACAGUCUUCUCCCCUGGGUACUUCUAUUUCCCUGUCUGUUAGGAGGGCUAUAGGAAAAGUGACUUCUAAAACUUUUAGUUAAGACAUCUAUUUAGUGCCAAUUGUUUGUUGGUGCUGUGAUUGUCGAGUUUUGUCUAAAUUUUGUGUAAAGUUAGACACUUUACUUGGGAACAUUGUCUGAUAUCUACAUCAGAAAAAGAUCUGCACAGGUUAUUUGCAAUCCACUCAAACCAUUGCCAAAUGGUUCUUCCAUUUCAUUUAUUUAUUUUCAGAACACUGCUAUGAGUUCCUGAAAUGAAAUGAAAAGUUUGCAGUGAUUAGAAGUUGAAAGGAAUAGGUCCCUGUUGGUAGACAUUUCUGGUAACUUUGGUUGGUGUCUCCCUCC